rnacentral:rRNA from 1 species
AUUGAACGCUGGCGGCAGGCCUAACACAUGCCAGUCGAACGGUAACAGGAAACAGCUUGCUGUUUCGCUGACGAGUGGCGGACGGGUGAGUAAUGUCUGGGAAACUGCCUGAUGGAGGGGGAUAACUACUGGAAACGGUAGCUAAUACCGCAUAACGUCGCAAGACCAAAGAGGGGGACCUUCGGGCCUCUUGCCAUCGGAUGUGCCCAGAUGGGAUUAGCUAGUAGGUGGGGUAACGGCUCACCUAGGCGACGAUCCCUAGCUGGUCUGAGAGGAUGACCAGCCGCACUGGAACUGAGACACGGUCCAGACUCCUACGGGAGGCAGCAGUGGGGAAUAUUGCACAAUGGGCGCAAGCCUGAUGCAGCCAUGCCGCGUGUAUGAAGAAGGCCUUCGGGUUGUAAAGUACUUUCAGCGGGGAUGAAGGGAGUAAAGUUAAUACCUUUGCUCAUUGACGUUACCCGCAGAAGAAGCACCGGCUAACUCCGUG